UACAGAGGGGGCAAGCGUUGUUCGGAAUUACUGGGCGUAAAGGGCGCGUAGGCGGCCCGCUAAGUCGAACGUGAAAUCCCCGAGCUCAACUCGGGAACUGCGUCCGAUACUGGCGGGCUUGAAUCCGGGAGAGGGAUGCGGAAUUCCAGGUGUAGCGGUGAAAUGCGUUGAGAUCCACAGGAACUCCGGUGGCGAAGGCGGCGACGCUGGACCCUUUCUGACGCUGAGGCGCGAAAGCCAGGGGAGCGAACGGG
rnacentral:rRNA from 1 species